AUUGAACGCUGGCGGCAGGCUUAACACAUGCAAGUCGAGCGGGGUGAUGGUGCUUGCACUAUCACUUAGCGGCGGACGGGUGAGUAAUGCUUAGGAAUCUGCCUAUUAGUGGGGGACAACAUCUCGAAAGGGAUGCUAAUACCGCAUACGUCCUACGGGAGAAAGCAGGGGAUCACUUGUGACCUUGCGCUAAUAGAUGAGCCUAAGUCGGAUUAGCUAGUUGGUGGGGUAAGGGCCUACCAAGGCGGCGAUCUGUAGCGGGUCUGAGAGGCUGAUCCGCCACAAUGGGACUGCGACACGGCCCAGACUCCUACAGGAGGCAGCAGUGGGGAAUAUUGGACAAUGGGGGGAACCCUGAUCCAGCCAUGCCGCGUGUGUGAAGAAGGCCUUAUGGUUGUAAAGCACUUUAAGCGAGGAGGAGGCUCUUUUGGUUAAUACCCAAGAUGAGUGGACGUUACUCGCAGAAUAAGCACCGGCUAACUCUGUGCCAGCCGCCGCCGUAA
rnacentral:rRNA from 1 species